rnacentral:rRNA from 1 species
AUCGAACGCUGGCGGCAGGCCUAAUACAUGCAAGUCGAGCGGAGCGGCGGACGGGUGAGUAAUGCCUAGGAAUCUGCCCGGUAGUGGGGGAUAACGUCCGGAAACGGGAGAUAAUACCGCAUACGAGAAGAUGAGCCUAGGUGGGAUCAGCUAGUUGGAGGGGGAAAGGCCUACCAAGGUGACGAUCCGUAAGUGGUCUGAGAGGAGGAUCGGUCACACUGGAACGUAGACACGUUCCAGACUCCUUCGGGAGGCAGCAGUGGGGAAUAUUGGACAAUGGGCGAAAGCCUGAUCCAGCCAUGCCGCGUGUGUGAAGAAGGUCUUCGGAUUGUAAAGCACUUUAGGUUGGGAGGCGUUACCAACAGAAUAAGCACCGGCUAACUUCGUGCCAGCAGCCGCGGUAAUUC